rnacentral:misc_RNA from 1 species
UUAAUUAUUUGCUUGUGCCACUCAGAAGAAACGUCGUUAAAAUAGAGUUUGGUAUCCUCCGGCGGGCGCCACGCCCGUGAGGGCGCGGCCGGGAGGGGGACUGCACCCCCGAGGGGGGUCGUCCUCCUGCCCGCCGAAGCAACAGUUAAGGUAUGUUCACAAAGGGUUGUAGAGCGGUAACUCAGUAAUGAUCCCUCCGCUGGUUCACCAACGGAGA